rnacentral:rRNA from 1 species
UACGAGUACCCCGAGCGUUAUCCGGAAUUACUGGGCGUAAAGCGUGCGUAGGCGGUGUUGUUAGUCUCCUGCUAAAUCCUUCGGCUCAACCGAAGAACUCCAGGGGAAACGGCAGCACUUGAGUAUGUGAGAGGUCUCUGGAACUCAUGGUGUAGGGGUGAAAUCCGUUGAUAUCAUGGGGAACACCAAAUGCGAAGGCAAGAGACUGGCGCAUUACUGACGCUGAAUCACGAAAGCGUGGGUAGCGAAAAGG